UACGUAGGGAGCGAGCGUUGUCCGGAUUCAUUGGGCGUAAAGAGCUCGUAGGCGGCUUGGUAAGUCGGAUGUGAAACCUCCAGGCUCAACCUGGAGUCGCCAUCCGAUACUGCUAUGGCUAGAGUCCGGUAGGGGCCCACGGAAUUCCUGGUGUAGCGGUGAAAUGCGUAGAUAUCGGGAGGAACACCAAUGGCGAAGGCGAUCACCUGGGGUUGUUCUGACGCUGAGGAGCGAAAGCUAGGGGAGCAAACGGG
rnacentral:rRNA from 1 species